rnacentral:rRNA from 1 species
GACGUAGGGUGCGAGCGUUGUCCGGAUUUAUUGGGCGUAAAGAGCUCGUAGGCGGCUCGUCGCGUCGACCGUGAAAACCCGCGGCUUAACUGCGGGCUUGCGGUUGAUACGGGCGGGCUAGAGUUCGGUAGGGGAGACUGGAAUUCCUGGUGUAGCGGUGAAAUGCGCAGAUAUCAGGAGGAACACCGGUGGCGAAGGCGGCAUCCUGGACCAUAACUGACGCUGAGGCGCGAAAGCUAGGGGAGCAAACGGG